GACGUAGGGGGCGAGCGUUAUUCGGAAUUAUUGGGCGUAAAGCGCUCGUAGGCGGGACCGAAAGUCGGUGAGGAAAGACCUGGGCUCAACUCAGGGAACUGCAUCGAUACUUCGGUUCUUGAGGUAAUCAGAGGGUGAUGGAAUUCCCGGUGUAGCGGUGAAAUGCGUAGAUAUCGGGAAGAACACCCGUGGCGAAGGCGGCUCUCUGGGACGGUACUGACGCUGAGACGCGAAAGCGUGGGGAGCGAACAGG
rnacentral:rRNA from 1 species